CGGAAGGGCGCGGAGGCUUCUCCGUUUUUCUGGGUGAUGUCGCCGAACCGGCGUCGACCGAGACCCUCUGACCGGGCCGGGCUGGAGGCGGCGGGGCCUGCCCCACCUGGAAGACUCCAGUGAGAAUUGGAGUGUGACAAGUUAGCAGAGGAAAGGAGUUGUUGUUUCCAUUCCAUGGAUCCCUUGGGUGCUCCUUCCCAAUUUGUGGAUGUUGACAGUCUGCCAGGCUGGACUGAUGCCUAUGAGGCUAAGCAGCUGGACCCUCACCAAAAUCCUGUUGAAAAAGCUCAAGAUGAUGUUAGAUCACCUUUUCCCUACAGGAAAGACAUCAAUGCAAAAAUAAUCUUAUGGAAAGGAGAUGUAGCGUUAUUGAACUGCACAGCCAUAGUAAACACCAGUAAUGAGUCUCUCACUGAUAAGAAUCCAGUAUCUGAAAGUAUAUUCAUGCAUGCUGGGCCUGACCUGAGAGAUGAACUCCAGAAGCUCAAAGGGUGCAGGACAGGCGAGGCUAAACUCACCAAAGGAUUUAAUUUGGCUGCACGUUUCAUCAUUCACACAGUGGGACCCAAAUACAAAAGCCGGUAUCGCACCGCAGCCGAGAGUUCUCUAUACAGCUGUUACCGCAAUGUCCUGCAGCUUGCAAAGGAACAGGCAAUGUGCUCCGUAGGAUUUUGUGUCAUUAACUCUCUGAAAAGAUGCUACCCCUUGGAGGAUGCAACCCACAUAGCAUUGCGCACAGUUAGAAGGUUCCUGGAGAUUCAUGGAGAGACUCUGGAGAAGGUGGUGUUUGCAGUCUCUGAGCUUGAAGAGGCCACUUACCAGAAGUUGCUGCCUCUGUAUUUUCCAAGAUCGUUGGAAGAAGAGAUACAAUCCUUGCCUUACCUCCCUGCAGAUAUUGGCAAUGCAGAAGGGGAGCCUGUAGUACCAGAGCGGCAGAUCAGGAUUACUGAAAAGCCAGGUGUUCCGGAUGAUGCUUCAGAUGAAGAGGGUCUGGAGGCAGAUUUGUCUUUCAUUGGUUCCCAUGCUUUUGCCCGCAUGGAGGGAGACGUUGAUAAACAGAGACGCCUCAUCCUUCAGGGACAGUUGUCAGAGGCAGCACUGCAAAAACAGCAUCAGAGGAAUUACAAUCGCUGGCUGUGUCAGGCAAGAGCUGAAGACCUCUCUGAUAUUGCUUCUCUUAAAGCCUUGUACCAGACAGGUGUAGAUAACUGUGGCCGCACAGUGAUGGUGGUGGUUGGAAGGAAUAUCCCCGUAACAUUGAUAGACAUGGAAAAGGCUCUUCUGUAUUUCAUCCAUGUCAUGGAUCAUAUUGCAGUGAAGGAAUAUGUCCUGGUGUACUUCCAUACACUCACAAAUGAUUACAAUCAACUAGACUCUAAUUUCCUGAAGAAACUGUAUGAUGUUGUUGAUGCCAAGUACAAGAGGAACUUAAAAGCACUGUAUUUUGUCCACCCAACAUUUCGUUCAAAGGUCUCAGCAUGGUUUUUCACAACCUUUACAGUCUCAGGGCUAAAGGACAAAAUCCACUAUGUGGAAAGCCUUCAGCAGUUAUUCACAGCCAUACCCCCAGAGCAGAUUGAUCUCCCCCCUUUUGUCCUUGAGUAUGAUGCCAGGGAAAAUGGGCCUUACUAUUCUUCUUAUCCUCCAUCCCCUGACUUGUGAUCUGCAGUCCUGCGAUGCUGCUGGUUUCCCAUGGAUCCAAUGACCUGAUGCCUGCCAAAACCUGUGCAUUUGCCCAUGUACAGAAUUCAGAGAGAGGGUUUUCCUCCCCCAGCUCUGACGUGAUACAUGUAAGACAGCUCAGCCACAGAGUACUUGCAGAACUGGAGGUGAAAAGUUUUUCAGCCUGCCAAUGGAAAGCUAAAAGAGAAGGGAGAAGGCUCCCUUCUAAAACAUAAUCAGAAUGAUGGAUUCCCUGGUAGGAAGAAUUGUCACAACAGUACUGAACAUGAAAACGAUGAGUCGCAUACAUCCUAUGCGGACUCGGGAGUUCCUAAAAGUAUUUGAGCCACCUCCUCAGUGAGCUGCAAGGACCCAGAGAUGAGCCAGUAGCAGGAGAUCCCAAAAGAGAGUCACUGAACCAGCCUGGUAAGCUUUCACCCAAGCACAGAAGAGUGGAGAAAGAAACCUCAGACCCUGAGGUCACUUGAAUCAGCUGCCAUCGGUAAGUAAAGCCGAAUCAGACCAGCCCAUCAAACCUUUUGAGUCUGCAAGAUGGGGGGGAAAACUGACAGAAAACAUAGCUGAAACUCUCCCUGAAAAUGGUCUGCAUUGCAGGCCAGGGGCAAUCCCCCUUUUCUGGUCCCAGAAGGCUCUUCUGAAGGUGGCCAAACAGUACGACAGUUCAGGAACAUGAGAUUCUCUGAUCUGUUAUGAAAAUGUGUCCAGAAGCUCAUACACACAGUCAGUAUGAAAUGUGAACUUGGUAAGAUGUUACUGAGCAGAGACCAGCUGGUGGUCAACAGCAUGGUCAGAACGAUAACAUUAAACAAGAAUUUCUGUAAGUCCAGAGCCGUAAGAAAGACACUAAGCAGAAAAGCUGCUCUGUUAUGAGACCAGACAAGAGCAUUUCAAAAAUGCAAACAUAUUUUACAGUAACGGUAGGAUAACUUCUUUAGGCAGGUCCCAAUGAAGUAGUUAGAUUAAAGGGAAAUGCUCCAUGUCCUGUCUCAGCAGCUUUGUUUGCACUUGAGCAUCUCUUUGAACUUAAGUCUGUUACAGUAGUAUAGCAAAGUGUUUUUGAGGGACUUAUCCAGGAAUUUAAAAAAAUAAAUAAAAUUUUAAACCCUAACAACUGAUGACCCCAAAGCACAAUAAGUAGAAAUGUUCUGCAGCCUGGCUGGUGCAGUAGCAGCCAUCAGUGGGACUUGCUGAUGUGCCAGCUUGGGACAGCAGAGCCUAGGGGUGUAGGAGGGGUACGGAGUACAGCAGGGUGUACCAAGACCCAGAGAAGAUGUCGGAGUUUGCGCAGGUGGUGUGGCCGUGAGCAAGAUGACCUUUUGGACGUUUUCAGAGCCACUGAUGCAGUUAGGCAAAUUCUCCUCUGCCGCAUCACAUUUAAAUGUUUCACUCUGUGCACUGCGAUCAUCAUGAUCAUUAGGGAGCAAAACUAGUUAAAUAGUCAUCACAGAAGCAACCGUGCAAAAAUAUUUCACAAUUAGCAAUGAGCCUUCAAAGCAAGUCACUAAAACCAGACUUUGGGGCUGCCCCCCCUGCAAAACCCAUUGCUCUCUCCUGCCCCAUCCUCCGGUGGCCCAUUUCCAAGGGGUUCAAAGUGCAACACCUUUCCAACACCUGGGUUGGAAAGGCAUGUCAGCGUUUGCUGUUGGAUGCAAGUUAUUUUAUUGAUUCAGCUAGGCAGCAAGCAGCAGAACUAGAAGCAGUCCUUACACCUGUGGAAAAUACAUUGCAGUCAGCAGCAAGGUUUUUCUGAUGGAGGACUACUUCAUUAGCCUGGUCUUGCACGCACCCACUGCCCGAAGCAAUGCUCAUCAGCUGGGUGGAGGAAACACACUGCAACCCUGGAGCAACCAGCAAGGACGACAGGGGUAGCGAGUAGUGCUGGUGGCAUCCCAUCCCAUAGCACGGCUCGGAGCAGUUUUAACCCAUCAUCAUUAAAUUAAGCCUGUUGACUCCAGACACUUCUUGAUGUUCGGAGGUUUUGGGGUUUUGGCUUGGGGUUUUUUGGGUGGGGAGAAACAAAGCUGUUUAGGGCCCCCUCCAGACUUUUCAGUCGUUCUUUGAUCUGUCACGGGGUCUGUGAAUGGAGCGCGAGCCCGCACCUAGGCACUGCAAGAGAGAUGGGUGCCGUGCCCGUGGCAGCAGGGCACAGCUGGGAGUUCACGCUGCUCCGAGCCCUCCACCUCCGGCUGCCAGCACCCCAUGCAGUUUAAACAGCAUGGGGUUUGCUGUGUCUGGCAAAUCCCAAGAGAGGAGCAGCUGUAGCAGCUCCAGGACAGCGGUAGAGGAACGUGCACAUGAAUCCAGAGAGAAAUGCUCUUUUCUCUUGGCACUCUAGCAAGCUCUAAUGAGAAGCAGCCCACCCGAGCUUUUGAAGAAUGAACUCACCAGGAGACUCCUCUGCUCUGAUCAGCCUCCAACCCUCUCAUCCGCUUAGGAGAAAUAAUAAACUGGGACAUAGGAGUUAUUUUCAUACGCACAGUUGAGUAACCUCACACAGGGAAGACUGGCGGGGAGGACGGGGGUGAUGUUGGGGCUGCCUCCCCCCCAGGACCACGCGAUGCA